rnacentral:misc_RNA from 1 species
UAGUAAUAUAAGGGGGCAUCCAUAAAGUGCGUAUGAAGUAAAACCACUAGUUUUGGACCCCCUUUCUUGUGCGCACCUCUAUGCUUUUAACCCCCCUCUCUUUCUUCUAUGUACGUACACAUUUAUUACAAAAUCAACCCCUCCCUUUUUCCAACACAAAAAUUUUUUGAAAACAGAAAAAACUUCAGUUAAUUUGUCAUUAUUUUCGAUUUUUUAAACUCGUGAAAUUCAAUGCUUUUGUUAAUAAAGAUAAAAAAAAUGCUUUAAGAGAGAGAUAGAGAAUGAGAGAUAGUCAAACCAUGUACUUGCUGUCUUAAACCCCUCCCCACAUUUUUCCGAUAACCUAUCUUCCCACAUACUUGCUACCUACUGGAUGAAUCUACAUAUACUGUACCUACUGGAUGGAAGACCCCUAAGUAUAAUAUAAAUUAUUAUGACAUAUUGUUAUGUUUAGUGCAUUUUUAAAUUAUGUUAUUUUUUAUAUUUUUAUAAAGAUGACAAAGAAUAGCAAAUGAUGGAUUAUAAUUUAAAAUUAAAUAAUUAUGAACAUGACUUAGAAUAUGUCAUUCAUAGUUGGUCCUCAUAUUCUUCCAAUUACCACCCUCGGAAUAUUAAAAAUGAUCACCCCUAUGAUCAAUCAUCUCGAUGGUCAUCAGACAGCAACUAUCCUCCACAGUACAUCAUAUUGAAACUUGUACAACCAUCCAUUGUCACAGCUAUCACAUUUGGAAAAUUUGAAAAGACACAUGUUUGCAACUUAAGAAAGUUUACGAUUACAGGAGGAGCAAGUCCUGAUCACCAAGUUCAUCUUUUAACAAGUGGUUUAAAGAACGAUAAUAAGAAAGAAACAUUUUCUUUAAAGCAUGAACUUCAAGGGAAGAAAUUUGUUUGUGAAUACAUUAAAAUUGUACCUGUUGCUUCAUGGGGUCCCAGUUUUAAUUUUAGUAUAUGGCACAUAAAGCUAUUUGGAAUUGAUGAUGCUAAAAUUGUUCAACCCUGUUUGAAGUGGUUCAACAAUUAUAGAGAACAAGAAGCCAUACGUCUUUGUUUAAAAUAUUUUCGGCAGAAGAAUUACACUGAAGCAUUUAAUGCUUUGAAAAAUGAAACAAAUGUGUUUUUGGAAAGUCCACUUCUCACAAGCUUACAUACUAGUUUGGUUAAGAAUGGAAACUUUGAGGAAGCGGAACAUAUAAUACAAAAUUCAGCUCAUUUGUUCAAUGAAUAUAUUAGUACACAAUCUUAUCAACCAAAAUGGACUGCACUCAAAUCUCUUAACAGAGAUGGAGUUGAAGUUUGUGAACAGCCUGGAAUGAGAGGCGGACAUCAAAUGUGUAUUGAUGAAGAAAAGCAACUCAUAUUUUUAAUUGGAGGUUGGGAUGGUACGAAAGAUAUUUCUGAUUUUUGGGUUUAUAAUAUCAACAGCAGUCAUUGGCAUUGUAUCUCUGAAAAUAUUGAAAUGGAUGGAGGUCCUGCUGCAAGGUCAUGUCAUAAAAUCUGUCUUGAUACAAAAAAGAGACAUCUUUAUAUAUUGGGGCGUUAUCUUGAUGCAGAAGAAAGGCUAAAUCUGGAUAUUAAGAGUGACUUCUUUAGAUAUGGGCUUGAUACAGGUCUAUGGGAAAUUGUAUCAUCUGAUACAUAUUCUGAAGGAGGGCCCAGUCUUAUUUUUGACCAUCAAAUGCAGUACGAUGGUGUGACAGAGAAAAUAUUUGUAUUUGGAGGGAGGAUUCUUACAACGAUAAUUAACGAUGAUCAAUCAUCAGAACCUCUGUUCAGUGGUCUAUUUUCUUUCUGCACAAAAACUUAUAAAUGGGAAAAAUUGAAGGAUGAUUGCUUAAACACACCCUCUAAUGAUCAAAUACUUUCCAGAAGUGGUCAUUCUAUGCUCAUUGAUCAGGAAAGAAGGUUGUUGUACAUAUUUGCUGGUCAGAGGGGCAGAAACAGAGAAAGUGUAAAUGAUUUUUUUUCAUACAAUAUUGAUACUGGUGAAAUUACGAUAUUAGUUGCGCUAGCAGAAAAUAAAUUAUCAUCGUCAAUUGGUUUCACUCAGCGCUCUAAUAUUGAUUCAAAAUUGGGUGAAAUUUAUGUUUUGUCGGGAUCAAAUCGUGAAGCAGAAAACAAAGAAGAUUGUAUUCGUAACUCGUUUUGGGUUUAUAACAUAGCCCUAAAGAAAUGGACAUGUGUUUACAAAAAUGAAAACAUUGAUAAAUUGUAUUGGAAGAAAAUGACAAAUAUUGAACCACGUCCACGAUUUGCACAUCAACUAGUUUAUGAUUCUAUAAACAAGGUUCAUUUCUUAUUUGGUGGAAACCCUGGGCAUUCUGCUUCAUUGAAACUUAGAUUAGAUGACUUUUGGAUGCUAAAGCUUGAGCGUUCAACAACUGAAGAUCUACUUCGUUAUUGUAGAUUUAUUAUCAGAAAGCUAAGUUACUCAUCACUCAGUACUACAGUACUCUAAUUAGCAAAUUUCCUAAAUACUAAUACACCAAGGAAAUAUAUUGUUUUGAAGUCAAUCGAAAACAAAUUAUCUUUCAUAUGAUAAAUUAUCAGAUUUAUGGAGAUGUCAGAAAUAGAUCAAAUACAUGCGUUUUCAUACUUACAAGAAGAAGUUUCAUUAGUAAUCGAUCAUACAAACGAUUGUGAAAGAGAGAUGUUUGAGUCACUAACUUCUGUGUUAUUUUCACCAGUAUUAUCUUCAAGUCGCAGUAAUUCAG